UUUUUAUCAAUAAAUUAUUUACAAUUAUUGGAAUGAUUUUCAUGUUCAUAGUUCCUUCUUCUAUGGUUUCCAACUUUUUUCCCCAGAUAGCACUUUUCUUGGCAAUUUCAUAUAAUUCAGCCAUGGCUUCAGCUAGGUAGAGGGUCAUGAAAGUGUAAAUCACACAGCCUCUCAAUCUGCAAAAAGUAUCAAUGUUUUGCACUUGAUGUCUAAACAUUGUUGGGUGCUGAUCCGAAUCAUGGUGAUGCUUUGGAAAUUUCUCAGUGGCUGACGAUGUUUCUAGGGACUUGGCAAGAGGGUCAGCGGGAUCUUCAGAGCCGCCCAUCGCUUGCGGAUCUUUGCAACACGGCCAAUGCCAAAGAAGUAAGCUACAGAAACAGCUGAUCUUCUUUAGCGGUUAUUAAGUCUGAUAAUUUAUCUUUAGUGCAGCCUCAAAUCCAAUUUAUGGCUCCUCUAAAUCCAGUGUUAAUCUGGUUGGUAAUAACCAGAAGGAAUCGAUAUCAUUAUCAUCCGUAUCCUAGACAACAUAUGGGAAACCUUCUAGUGCAUUUGGAGACUACAAUUGAAACUUAUUUAUGGUCUUGACAGCCUGUGGGAAAAAGAGCCUGAAAAAUAAUAGUGACUCCUUUGUACUGUGAGAUUAGUUCAGAACAAGAGCCAGAGGAGGAAUAGAGUGAGUCUUCACUGCGUGAUACCUUCUUUGCAACUGUGGAAGCUGAGACUGAUAGUAAAACUAGAAAAGGCUGUUCCUGAAAAGAAGCUAUCACUAUCCAAAGGGCAAGGGAGUGGAGAUAAAAGAUCGGCUCUUUGAGCUUGCUCGUUUGUUCUGGAGAUCCUGGUGAUUAUAUUGACCUUCAUGAGCUUGGAAUGGAUCUAUGUGCUGAGGCCUUGAGGAAACAGUGACAAGUGAAGAAGAACAAAAUAUGAUAAGGCUGCUUUGAAAUUUUGAGAAGUGGCUGCUUUAGGUUUACCUCAACUUGAGAUAUGUUCAUGUUUGUGAAGCGAUGGAGAAUCUACCAAUCGAUGAUUUUUCUGCAAAGAAUAUGGUUGCAACACACUUCCAACUGCUUUAGGAUACAGAUUCUUUAGCUAGCCAGAAGUAUGAAGAUGCACUUUUGAUUAAACCAGACUUUUUUGAGUAAGUUGGUGAUCAGGAAUAAGUUCAAAUGACAAAACUUCACAGGUCAUCUUUUCUUACGAAAAAGAAGACCUCUUAAACUGGGAUCCAACAGAAACUAAAAAUGUUUAAUAACAGAACGGAGAAAAUGCAAUCUGCCACUGAAUGUGGGAGAAGCCGGAGAUGCAAAGAGGCAAAGAUUUUCAAAGAAUCCUCGUUUCGGCUUGAAAAAAAUUUGAUAAAAAGAAAGAGGAAGCAAGUAAGCAGUAGUGAAGGUGAUCGGUGAGCCCUAAAAGGAAAAUUUCAUCCGAAGCUGCAGAACAAGCACCAUUGAUACGAUCACAAAUACAUCUAUUUUGGGGUAACAUGCUUUUUAAGCUAUCUCCGGUUGAAUGCAAAUUAGGUAUGAUGGAUUGGAAUAAAAAUUUGGGCCCUGCUCUUGAGCGAUUAAAACUUGAUGGAACUUCUAAGGCUAAAAUUUCAAUCUUGCUGAAAUAUCAAUGCUUGAAUUUGGAUGCUGUAGAAGGGAACAAGGUAGCUUUACUUCAUUUGAAGAAGUAUGAGUCCUUGAGCCUUCUUGCUAUCAAGGAAGAAACACUAAAAAGAUGACUACGUACCUCAAGCUGGUCCCCGAUGUUGAUAACAAUGGAGUGGCGCAUAGGUGGAACAUCAAUCCAUUCUCCAUCCUUGAGGAGCUGGAGGCCGCUGACUUGGUCAUCCUGGAAGAGAAGGAUGAUACCUCCAGCGUCGGUGUGGGCACGAAGGCCUUUAAUAAGGUCUGGCUUAGGACAUGGAGGAUAGUUGCUCACCUUUGUUCCAAAAGUAGGACCCUUGGAUCCAUAAAAUGCUUUCUUCAGGUAGCCUUUCUCUAACCCGAGAUUCUCGCAUAACAAGUCCAAAAGUUCCUCGGCUAGUUUCUCUAUUCCUGCUGCAAAGUCCCUCAUUGCCUUCCUGUUGACCGAAAGUUAUCAUCUUAAUUUCAUUCCUUAAAGUCAUACUACGAAAGCUCUUUCAUUGUGCUUGUGUUUUACCUGUAGUCUUCCACAAGAUCAGGAAUGUCCAACAUGUUGGAAUGAGGAAGAUGGCUGAGGAAAAAAGUGCUUUCCCAGUCCAAAUCAUCAAUUUCGUUCUGAACAGCUUCUAACCCUUUACUUGCCACCAUUUCUUUGAACCUUUGUUCCAUGCACUUCUUGUAGUGUUCUUUAGUCAGCCUCUCCACAGUGUCCAUUAGCUCAAUAGAUAUCCCAUGAUUCACCAACUAUUUUAUCACAACAAAAGUAUUAACUCAAUGUAUACAGUUUCAGAUCAUACUGACAAAUUUACAAAAAUUAGUAUAUUCAUAAUUCAUGUCUAUGUGUGUUUUACCUCAAAAAAGCCCCAGUUCUCGCAAGCAUCCUUGAUCCUUUCCAUUGUUACAGCCCUGUCUUGACCAUUAAGCUUCUCCAUAUCGAUGAUUGGAAAUGUCGCCAUGCCUCUUUCUCUCUUCUCACUAUUCCCUCUUUCUCUCUGACUCUGUAUGUGGAGUGUACUGCUGAAAGAUGUGAUCUUUGAGGACAAUUUAUAGGCCUUAUUCUGGAAAAAUGUUGAAUAAUAGAAGUUUGGUAAUUCGAAGGAUAAUUACUAUUUCGAGUAGAAAUUUUGUUAAUAUUAUAUCCAUAUUCUAACUGCAGAAUUAAGGAACAGGACUAGUGGAACAAGUAUGUGCUCACAUUUCCAUGGACCCCUGCAAAAUUUUAUGAGGCUUACACUAUUCCAGGUAUGUCUACACCUGAGUUGAAAAAAAAGUGCAAGAAAAAGUUGGUCACACAUCAUUAUCUGGUGAAGCAUGGCAAAAGAAUAGGGUGGUGCCAAACAUUCUCACAAAAGUUGGUAAAAGCCAAUGGGCAGUUGGUAUUCACUUAACGCCCCAUUUGGCUAAAUGUAAAAUAAGAAUUUCUGGCAAAAAAUUUAUAUUUAUACAUUGUUGUUUGUAAAUUAAGUAAUUGUAAAAGUUUAAUAUAUCUGGUCCGCAAAAAUAAGUAUUUAUUUAUUUCUAGACAUAUGAUAUUCGUUUA